rnacentral:rRNA from 1 species
AGUCAACGCCGCAAGGCGUGGCAUACGGCUCAGUAACACGUAGUCAACAUGCCCAAAGGACGUGGAUAACCUCGGGAAACUGAGGAUAAACCGCGAUAGGCCAUGGUUUCUGGAAUGAGCCAUGGCCGAAAUCUAUACGGCCUUUGGAUUGGACUGCGGCCGAUCAGGCUGUUGGUGAGGUAAUGGCCCACCAAACCUGUUACCGGUACGGGCUUUGAGAGAAGGAGCCCGGAGAUGGGCACUGAGACAAGGGCCCAGGCCCUAUGGGGCGCAGCAGGCGCGAAACCUCUGCAAUAGGCGAAAGCCUGACAGGGUUACUCUGAGUGAUGCCCGCUAAGGGUAUCUUUUGGCACCUCUAAAAAUGGUGCAGAAUAAGGGGUGGGCAAGUCUGGUGUCAGCCGCCGCGGUAAUACCAGC